CAGGAGUUUUCGCGUCAAAAAAGGAAAUCGGUAAUUAUGGAAAUCAUGAGUUUUCGUAUCAAAAAAGGAACUCGGUAAUUCACCUUAAUUAGCCUUUUUUUAUAUACAGAAUUUUCGCCUAAACCUAAAUCAUGGAAGCCUUUUAUCAUCAUCAACUCAAUCAACUCAAAAAAGAAACAACUAGGAUUGCUAGGAGUUUGAGGCUGAAUCUUUUGCUAUCAAAAUCUUUGCGGACUUAUCUAGAUGAGAUUUCAUAAGGGCUAUAGGAUGAACCAGUUGACGAUGUUAUGGGGACUUAUGAUUUUGCAAAAGAGCAAAUGGCCGUCAGAGGGAAAUCAUUCAAAAUUACUGAUGAGGUGUUUAAAACACAGAGAGCGUGACCCUUAUUGAUUUUGAGAUUAGGAGAAAAAGCUUUGAAACCAAGUCUAAAGAGCAAGUGAUUAUUCUGGCAGAAUCUUAAUCCAACGAUAAUUUUAUUAUUUAGUCUUACAACUCAUUACAAAUACUUUUGGCACUUAAAUCUCUAAAUAUACCUCUCAUAGAACACUCA